CCACGAUUGCAGCUCAAGUCGAGGACAGCUCCAUUACCUAAAAAAACCGAAAUCAAGAAAAUUGCUAAUGAUAGUAUU
rnacentral:sRNA from 1 species